GACGAAGGGGGCUAGCGUUGUCCGGAAUUAUUGGGCGUAAAGAGCUUGUAGGCGGUUUGUCGCGUCUGCUGUGAAAAUCCGGGGCUCAACCCCGGACUUGCAGUGGGUACGGGCAGACUAGAGUGUGGUAGGGGAGACUGGAAUUCCUGGUGUAGCGGUGGAAUGCGCAGAUAUCAGGAGGAACACCGAUGGCGAAGGCAGGUCUCUGGGCCACUACUGACGCUGAGAAGCGAAAGCAUGGGGAGCGAACAGG
rnacentral:rRNA from 1 species